UGGGGAAUAUUGCACAAUGGGCGAAAGCCUGAUGCAGCGACGCCGCGUGAGGGACGAAGGUCUUCGGAUUGUAAACCUCUUUCAGCAGGGACGAAGCGAAAGUGACUGUACCUGCAGAAGAAGCACCGGUUAACUACGUGCCAGCAGCCGCGGUAAUACGUAGGGUGCAAGCGUUGUCCGGAUUUAUUGGGCGUAAAGAGCUCGUAGGCGGUUCGUCACGUCGGAUGUGAAAACCUGGGGCUUAACCCCGGGCCUGCAUACGAUACGGGCGAACUAGAGUUCGGUAGGGGAGACUGGAAUUCCUGGUGUAGCGGUGAAAUGCGCAGAUAUCAGGAGGAACACCGGUGGCGAAGGCGGGUCUCUGGGCCGAUACUGACGCUGAGGAGCGAAAGCGUGGGGAGCAAACA
rnacentral:rRNA from 1 species